rnacentral:lncRNA from 1 species
UGUAAUUUAAAAUUGCAUCAUGAUAAUUGAAAGCAUUCCCUGUAAAAACUGGAACAAGACAAGUAUGCCCUCUUUCACCACUUCUAUUUAACAUAGUUCUUAAAAUACUAGCCAGAGCAAUAAGACAGAUUAAAGAAAUUAAAGGGAUAUGGAUAGGAAAAGAACUCAAAUUACCACUAUUUGCCGACAAUAUGAUUCUAUACAUAGAAGACCCAAAAUUCCACCAGAAAACUUUUAGAACUAAUAAAUGAAUUCAGCAAAGUAACAGGAUAUAAAAUCAACACCCAUAAAUCAAAGGCAUUUCUGCAUAUCAGUGACAAAUCCUCUGAAAAAGAAACGAGGAAAACUACCCCAUUUAUAAUAGCCUCAAAGAAAAAUAAAAUACUUGGGGAUCAACUUAAUGAAAGAAAUGAAAGACUUGUACAAUGAAAAGUACAGAAUGCUAAAGAAAGAAAUUAAAGAAGACCUUAGAAGAUGGAAAGAUCUCCCUUGUUCUUGAAUAGGCAGAAUUAAUAUUGUCAAAAUGACCAUACUAACAAAAGCACUAUGCAGAUUUAAUGCAAUUUCAAUCAAAAUCCCAAUGACAUUCCUCAUGGAAAAUGCAGUCACGAAAUUCAUCUGGAAAACUAAUAAGAGAACCAGAAUAGUUAAAGCAAUCCUUAUCAAGAAGAGUGAAGCAGGUGGCAUCACUAUACAAGACCUUAAACUAUACUAUAGAGCUAAAGUAGCAAAAAUGGCAUGGUAUUGACACCAAAAUAAACGUGUAGACCAAUGGUACAGAAUAGAGGACACAGAAACAAACCUACGUAAAUACACUAUAUCUUAUAUUAAACAAAAGCACCAAAAAUAUAUUGGAGAAAAGAUAGCCUCUUCAACAAAUGGUGCUGGGAAAACUGAAAAUCCAUACGCAACAAAAUGAAAUUAAGCCCCUAUCUCUCACCAUGCACAAAACUCAAGGGGAUCAAGGACCUAGGAAUUAAACCAGAG